rnacentral:rRNA from 1 species
CCUACGGGAUGCAGCAGUGGGGAAUAUUGCGCAAUGGGCGAAAGCCUGACGCAGCGACGCCGCGUGAGGGAUGAAGGUCUUCGGAUCGUAAACCUCUGUCAGCAGGGAAGAACGGUCACUGUGCUAAUCAGCAGUGAAUUGACGGUACCUGCAAAGGAAGCACCGGCUAACUCCGUGCCAGCAGCCGCGGUAAUACGGAGGGUGCGAGCGUUAAUCGGAAUUACUGGGCGUAAAGCGCUCGUAGGCGGUAUGUCAAGUCAAGGGUGAAAUCCCCGCGCUCAACGUGGGAACUGCCUGUGAAACUGGCAAACUGGAGUGUGUGAGAGGAUAGUGGAAUUCCAGGUGUAGGAGUGAAAGCCGUAGAUAUCUGGAGGAACAUCAGUGGCGAAGGCGACUAUCUGGCACAUAACUGACGCUGAGGAGCGAAAGCGUGGGUAGCAAACAGGAUUAGAUACCCGGGUAGUC